rnacentral:rRNA from 1 species
GUGCCAGCCGCCGCGGUAAUACCGGCAGCCCGAGUGAUGGCCGCUAUUAUUGGGCCUAAAGCGUCCGUAGCUGGCCGAACAAGUCCGUCGGGAAAUCCACGUGCUUAACACGCGGGUGACCGGCGGAAACUGUUUGGCUUGGGGCCGGAGGACCCGAGGGGUACGUCCGGGGUAGGAGUGAAAUCCUGUAAUCCUGGACGGACCGCCGGUGGCGAAAGCGCCUCGGGAAGACGGACCCGACAGUGAGGGACGAAAGCUGGGAUCUCGAACCGGAUUAGAUACCCCAGUAGUCC